CCGAACGAUCCAAGAUCACGCGAAAUCGUCAACAUUCAAAUCCGGCUAACUUACUUAGCGAGGUACGAAGAACAGGCCCCAGGAGUGAGUGAUGAAAGUGAGACUACAUCAGAGUCUGUCUCUGGACUGGUUGUUUGCUGCUGCUAUGAGUUCAGCAAGGUUAGGUGAACCCACAGCUGGGAGUGGUUCCCUGGUGGGUGGGAGGAUCAUACUUCAGCUUCAAUAUUAUAGUGGUCUUCAGAAUGUCAAGGUUUGCUGUGUGGCAGGCAGUGGUUGGACCCGAACGCAGGACUCUGAGACGGAGUAUUUAACUUAAAGGAAUAGUUUUCCAUGCUUCCUGAAGGACAUUUAGAGCUCUUUUUUAGAUUUGGGCUGCCUUUUAUCGGUUCUCUGUCAAGAUGAUCCAACUAAGCUUACAAAAAAUGUAGAAGUCCGGGCUCCGGAGAGGCAGAUCCAUGAUGCGCAUAGGUAAGACUAUAUGCCAUUCCCGCGUGGGGUGUCCGUAUCCAGUGAGGGUCCUAAGGCUAGAACCCCCAUUCUAAGCGAGCCUACCGCAGACAUGCCGGCUCGGACGUCGCCUGGAUCGUCGAGGAACCAUCGGUGGCAGAGGUUUUUAGGAAUCGUCUCAAAAAGAUGACACUACUAACAGCUGUCAGUCACCGCUGGCAUGGGAUUUACCCAGAAAUAGUAAAAAAAUAGUAAAUAGAAAUAGUAAAAAAGAGCAUGACGUAAUGGUAGAUGUCGCCAAAGCUAUUAUGAAGAGGAAUCCCCAUCUUCUCCAGCACCCAAGCUCCCCCCGCCAUAACCGAUGCAUUUACAGCCUUAGCCUCGCGGUCCCGAGGCGAUUAAGACCAGCAUCCUGAAGUUUUUCCCCAGUACUGAAUUCUCCAGCCUGCCAG